ACAGAAACCAGGAUGAGGGAUAAAACUAGUAUUUAAAAAAGGAAAGAUGUACUGAUUAAUACUUGUUUAGAAGAGAGAAAAGUCAGGGUGACUUAGAAAGAAGGUUGUGAACAGGUUUGUACUGUCUGUCAAAGUGUGUUACUGUGAAAUUCAACAGCUAUUAUUUCUUUUUAUAUCUGCUAGCUGCGUAAAAACCAACACAUCAAAGAGGCAACUGGGCCCAGGUCCUGGAAAUGGGAAAGGAGUUUGUCUCUUCUGCUUAUGACUGGAAAAGGUAAAGGUUUCUUAAAUUGACAUGACAUUCAGUUUAAACACCUGAUGUGGUGUCUUGGCACCAUUUUUGAUUGUUAUGUUAUUCGAACACAAGACAAAAAGACAAGAACGCAAAAGGAACUCAAAAUCUGAGUGGCUCAUGACUGACACUCCUCUGUUUGACAUGUGAUCCUGAAUGUGUGUAUUUGACUCAAUAUACACGGCUGUGUCAUCCUUGUGUGUCUAUAUUUGUAUAUUUUGGCUUGUUACAACCUAAACAGUUCAAUGAGACACUCUGAUAAAGCUCUAAGGUGAUGCACUGAUCAGUUGUUUCAAUUUAUACUCAUAUAAAAACAUUUCAUUUCUUAUAUUUUGUUAAUGAUCGCAGGUUUUACGAGGGUUUAAAAACACCUGUGUCACAGCUGAAUUUGAUAUAAUAAGAGGUUCAUAUUACAUCACUUUCACAAGCUACAUGAACUGAAACAUUUACUUCAUCAUUUCAAUGACAGUAAAAACUCUUAUUACUAAGGUUUAAAACCAUCAAAUCUCUAUCCUCGAGUAGGGAUAUGACCACUGUUUGCUGACAUACAGCAGAGUGAGGGUGAAGGAUGAAGAGCAGAUAUGAAGGAAAAAUACUAGUACACGUAUACACACACGCACACACACACAGGGACACACAGCAUCCUGACCCUUCAGUGAGCUCUUGUUCCCCCUUGAGUUAGACACAGAGGGUGUGUAAGUGUGUGUGUUGGCUAAUCUCCCAGGUGUAGUGGGAGGGAUUCUUGUAUUUCUCUUCCUCUUAAUGUCAGAGUGGCAUUUCUCUCCCUCUCUCUCCCUAAUUUAGCAGUAUGAUCUUCAUACUAUUUUUAGAGAAUGCGUACGUGUUGGUCUGUCUGGUCUGAGGUGUUUUUGUGAAUAGAUUGAAACUGCUUUAUAAGUCAGCUACUAACCUCAGUGCAGACUUUAUUUAGAGAUACUGCUGAGUCUCCUACAGCUGUCAUUUACUUCUUUGACGCCCAUUAGAGACUGAAAAACUCACCCCACUCCAUGUAGUUGAUUAACAUACAUAAUUCUUCUGUACAGUUUUUGCAUAGCUUUCAGAAAUGUUUUCAUGUCAGUGGGAGUUUGCAGUUUUAAUCAAUUAAUUUUGCAGAACCUUUUAGAUUUUUCUUUCGAACAAAAGUUUGUCUGACCAUAAAACCAAAAAGCUCCUCAGCAGAGUUUCAGCUGGUUAUCUAACAUACUGAAAUGAAUAUCAGUGCCUCUGAGCUGUAAAAAUGACAGACCUUUUGUGUUUAAUAUUUUUUUCUUUUUUUUUUAAAUUGUUGUUGUUGUUGCUGUUUUUUUUUCUAUGUCUGAAAUAGCUGGCAGUAGUAGGUUCCACCCAUAGACUGUAUAUAUUAUGGACAACUUGGCUCCACCUCUCUGUAUAUCCCGGAUUUUCUCCACUUACUGGAACCACCACUUGUGCAGUAGCAUUGUACGCAUUCAAUGGGAGAGUCGCUGAGAUGACACUCGGCUCAAACAGCGACUCUCCUUGGUGAGCUCUGCAAUCUUUGUACGUUCAUAGGCUGUAUCAGGUGUCAAUCAUAGAAAACAAGCAGGGGGAAAAAAAUUAUAUUCUGUGUAAUUAAUUCUACAGUUUGUCCACAACUCCAUAGGGAUUGCUGGAGGAGGCGGGAUUUAUGACCUAUACUGCAGCCAAAUAAUGACGAUAAUAUUCAUUUAAUCUAAAUUUGAAUAGAUUUUCACAUGUUGAUAAUUGCUAACUUAAAGUAAUGACCACAGUAAUGAAAAAAAAAGAAAGAAACUCAUGCUUCUUCUUAGCAGGUUAUGUUAUGGACACCCUUCUGCUUUUUUGCGAACUUAGGAGAAGUGGGGAAUAAAUGGGGGGAGUGGAGGGUAAAAGAAUGAAGAUGAAACAUCUGUUAAAUCAUUUAGUUGACAAGAACAGGUUGCUCUCUAAUCCCCCUACGUCAUCCAUACUUUACGGGCUACAAUAUUUAUUUAUUUAUUGUGCUGCCACAAAUAAGACCCUCAUAAUUUGGCCUCUGCACAUGGUGGCGCUCAGGCUCAUUACAAGUACCCACUAUUACCCACCAUAUGCUUUAAUUCUUACUGACUAACUAACCCACAAACUGAUUUGCUAUCACUAAGAGGGGAUAGGAGAUGAGAAGGGAGGGUUUGGGUCAUCACACCAAAAAGAGAAGGCAAAGAGAGAACUGAGGUUUUUGGUAAACUGAGAAGACUGUAGAUUUUCUCAUGGAUAUCAAACCAAUAUCAUAUCAGACUAUGUAUUAUCAGAUAUUACUCUAUGAUGCGCCAUGUAAAAGAAAAAUAUGUACAAUAUCAUCAUUAUUGUUUUAUAAUUUUGGAUUUCAUUUGGAGAUUAAAGUUUGGAGGAAGAGUGGAGAGACAUAUAAUCCAAGUGGUUUGAGGUCUAAAAAUGAUGCAGACUGUUAAUUUGUGGUGCCAUGUCAUCUGCUGGUAUUGAAUCACUUUUAUUUUCUAGCAAAUCUAAAGUCAGGGAAUCCUUCAAAAAAAAUAUUUCAGUCAGGACCACUUUAGUCAGAAUUAUUUAUUACAAGCAAACAUUUUUACAUUGGCGAUAUGGCUCUGUUCUGAGAGUUCCCUGCGCUUGCAUGGAAUGCCACGGCUAUAAGAGGGGAGAGCCCCUCCCCUCACUUUCAUGUGCAUACAUGAAUGGCCAAGGUAGCAGAUAAAUAAAAUUAAGAUACAUUAAUUAAAAUCCCCCAAAACAACCAUACCAGACGUCCCUACUGGCUUUCAUGAGCUACAUGAAAGCCGAGGUGGGGAAAGCUGCAGCAAAUAAAUAAAAUUAAGAUAAAUAAAUUAAAAUCCUCCCACAGAACAGAGCAAGCAUCAGUGACAAUACAUAUGACACUGGUGAGAUCAGACACAACAUAAACAGGAGGAGUGUGGGUGGAGGUGGGUUGAAGAGUGGUUGCAGCAGGCAGAGUAGGCAGGAGAAGCAGUUUAAAUAGGGUGCCAUUUUGACAUUAGCCAAUAGGAUGUGUAGACGGUGAUCAGCUGAGCUGUCAGCUGACUGAGGGCUGGCUUAAGAUCAGCUGACUGUAGCCUUUAGCUUGACUUCCUGUCGUGUCUGAACUACUACUACUAGAGCACAUCAUGUUUCCUGUCUUCUAACAAACUUUCGAAGAUGCUGAUUUCUUUUUCCAGCGGGACAUGGCACCUGCCCACAGUGCCAACUUCUACCAAAUGGUUUGCUGACCAUGGUGUUACUAAGUUUGAUUGGCCAGCCAACUUUCCUGACAUAAACCACCCGUAGAGAGUCUGUGGAUCUUGUUUAGUAAUAGUGCUAGUCAAGAGUUGUUUCAUUCGGGAACCUUUUAAAGAACCAGUUUACUUUUCCAUGGUUAGGACCACAAGAGAACCACAUUUAUGAACUCAUCUCUUAUUUCUCAGAAACACUUGCUGUAGAGUUGAUAAAUUUACAUGAUGCUUUUAGUAUAACACUGUUUUUCUCUCUUGAAAUAGAUGUGAAAAAAGAUUGAUGAUCUGGUGUUCAGAGUCCACAGAUUUCCUUUGCAGUAUGGGUUUAUCAGAAAUACAGGUGCAGUGAAGUAUCUGAAUAUUCACGGUUCACCUAAAAGCCACACAGAAGCAACAACCUAGAAUUAGAUGUAAAGAUAAACAUACUUUAAGGAAGUUGGACAGUUUUUUAUUUUAUAUCAGUUUUUUAAUUAAUUUUGGAAACAGUCUCAAUAUUAUAGCAAUUGGAUUCUUGAUUUAUGAGCAUAGCUUGUGGCCAGAAUCAUAUCAAAUUAAAGGCUUAAAAAGCACUUUUUUCUGGAUAUUCUGUAUAAAAAUGUUACAUGGUGUUGCAUGGUGAAUUUGUGAAAUUCAUAUUUUGAAGUGUUGUGUUUCAGCCCUUGCCCGCUUGGCACUUGGAGCCAGAAUAAUGCAUAUUUAUCCAGGAGAGUGAAAUCCAAGGGAGGAAAAAAUUUGUUGGCAUUUUGAUGAGGAUGGACUCAAUAUUAGAGUCAGCCGAGAGAACUCUGUUUUUCUUCUUCUUUUUUUCCUCUUUUUUAAAAAUUUUGUUUAUUUUAAUCCAAAACUGAGAUUUGCAGUUUAAGUUUUGAUUCAGUCUUAAAAUUAUUUCCCUCGUAGAUUUAGGGGUUUUUGUUUGUUUGUUUGCUCUCCUUAUAUCCACUUCCAGGUUUGGAAUGCAGUCAACAGCAAAUACCAUCAAAAUGUCAGCUGAUCUGGUAGUCUUGGAACUGACAAAACUGCACAGACUGUCUAUGUGGUUAGUCUUGAGGCAGCUGGCUGUCCAAUCAAGCAAGUACCAUCAGGGUCAGCUAACCCUUUGGUGGCAGUUUUGGGGUUGUGGGCAGGUGCUGAGUCCUGCUGGAAUUGGCAUUUCUACAUAAGUGAGGAAGACAAGUGUGAAAGAAUAGUAAUGGGUUAGAUUAAGUGUUUCUUUAAGAGAUCCAAAUCUGCUCCGAUUGAAUCAAUUGAGGUGAUUAUGACACUGUUGUUAUCAAUCUAAAAUCACUAAAAGAAUGUAUUUUCAUGUUUGAAUCUAUUUAUCUGUACUUUCACAGGUCUUAACAAACAAUAUUCCUUCAUUAUAAACCUCAAAUAUUCUUUUACUUUCAUAAGUAACCCAGGUGAGAAAUGUCACAUUUUUUGAGAGCUUAAUUUUUCAGGUCUUGGUGUUAUAUUAUCAACCAGUUAAUAUAUGAAACUACGGAGCCCCUCUGGUGACACUGAAGAAAAAGAAAAUUAAUGUGUGGUCACUAGUUGGUAUCUCGUGGCCACGAGAUACCAACUAGUGGCCACACAUUAAUUCACCAAAAUUAUGAAGAGGCACACUUUCCAGAAAACAGCUAUUGUAGUAUGACCAUGAGGACACCUUUGGUGUGUUUGGUGAUAUUGGAGUCUCUGUACUGUAUGACAGCAGAGCUACUUGUUUUUGUUUGCAGCAUCUUGCUCUUGUAUUGCAACUUGCAGACGGUCCCUGUGCGCUCGCCUGGCUACCGGCUGCGCAUAGAGAUCAAUAUUAUUCAUCCAGCUCGAAGAACGGCUUGUUUUUGUGACAAGCCAGUUUUUAAUUCUUGUUGCUGGUAGUCUGUGCUAUUAUGACGUGAAAGAGGCAUCAUUUGUGUUUGGACAACGUUUCCUCUUAGAGUUAUUGAUCCUGGAAGUCUGAAUCUGUGAAUAUCUUUCCAACUUUACUGAACUCUGUGAAGGUCAUGUUUUUGGGAUGUGGGAGGAAACUGAAGUACCCUGAGUAAACCCAUGCAGACACAGGAAGAACAUGCAAACUCCACACAGAAAUGCCCUGACCCGGAUUCGAACCCAGGACCUUGUUGCUGUGAGGCGACAGUGCUAACCACUACACCACUGUGCCACCCUAAAUAAAUAAAUAAAUAAAUAAAUAAAUAAAUAAAUAAAUAAAUUCAAGUCACAACACAUAUUAACAUUUAAACCACUUUCGCUGGUUGAUUAAGAGGAUGUGAUGCUGGAAGACUAAAUGAAGUUUGAGUUUAAUUAAAAAAAAUAACUGUAACAAAGGCAGAGAGCAGCAAUCAUAUAUGUCCACUUGCUUGAUUCUAAAGGGCGUUUGGACUCAAGGUACAAAGCCUCAGUGAAUAGGCAGACUAAUUGACUCACUUUACAUCUGAAGCAGGGACCGUAGAUCCUAAUUAAUAAAGUGAUACUGCCCUGCUGGGCUCCACCGCCGUGAACGAUGGGCAGUUAAUGGCUCCCACUGUAAAGGUGCCAAAAGGAGCUACUGCCAUUUCUCAAUGUGUAGAAAUGACUUCUGUUUAUUUGUUCGUCAUCUGGGUAACGUGGUGACUCCAAUCAUCGUAAUAGAUAUCACCAUGGUGGAUGAUCUUCAGGACAAAGGAAAACUCUUACAGUUAUUGCUUUGAGAGUCUCACACUUCUGAGUGCAGUUACAUUACCAGUGGUGCAAAACCAACAAAGACCUCAGCUGCCAAAAGCUCUGAUUCACAGUGUGAGUGUUGUCAUCCACUGAUCAUUUGUGAGAACUGAUGAAGAUGUCAGUGUUUCUGGGUCUGUGGUUUGCAAAGUAAAAGUUCCUGGUCAAUAGUUUGUGAUAUUUCACGACACUCAGAAAGCUCUGAUAAUGUUAAUCCAAAUUAAAUCUGCAAAAAUUCGGGGUGGCUGUUUUUUUUUUUCAUUAAUUAUACAUAUUCAUAUUUUUAUAAAAUUUCCAUGGAGCUUUUUCUGCUUUCUUCACAUCAAAAAUGUUGUUGACUGUGUAGUAGAACAAAAAUGUAGACAUAUUAUUGGUGCAGCUGGAUCAUUUUGCUGUACAGUGCGGGUCAAUUCACAGGAAGAGUAAACUAAAAUCAAUCAAUAUAUCCAUAUACUAUAUAAAAAAGUGAUAAGUGGAUGAUUUGAUUUGUGUCUUUCAGGAGAGAUGAUCAAUUGCCUUCGCAGUGCGAACAGUUGGAGUAAAGAAAGCCAUGCGCUGUCUGCAAAAUCCAAGGUGCACCGGAUAGCCUUUUAGUAUGUAAUAAAAACAGUUGAAAUGCUUUGAUUAUUGUUGCUUUAUAACAACUAAAUCCCUCAUGUACUCUUUCAAAUCAACAUCCUGGGCAUUUUUUUCCCCCAAAGACUACAGCAUCAGAAAAUAGUUGGAAGAGUUGAUGUUUUGGUGUCAACAACAGCUCUUUGUGCUUGUCUCUUCACAGGUGACUCUUGUAAAAAAGGUCAGUGUGAUUCAUCUUUAAAGACAUUCCAAGCUUGGGAUGAUAAACUGGAGGAAGCAAUAUGACAGCAGACACUGGGGAAAAAGCUGAAGUGGCAAAAUAAAGAGUUUCAUGAGUGCUAACAGCUAGCCUUUGUUGAUUCCUGUAGAGACAUAACUUAUGUGUCAUUUCAUGACUUUAGAGCUGUGUGUAAAGUAACACCCUAAGGCUGUGUCUAACUUUAUACCAGUGAAAAAGCAGACAAAAAGAAGAUGCUCAGGCAAAGGCUGAAAGAGCUGAAAUUAGCAUUUUUAAGGACACCAGUCCAAGAAAAAUAAGGAGUGAAAAUCAUGCAAACCCACUCUGUAGAUGUUCUAGACAUCUAGGCUGUUAUCCAAUUACACCCACAGAUACUUGUGGCCAUCCACAAUGUUCACACUGACCUCCCCAAUGGAAACAGGGGUCACUGGUGCCUUUGUCCUCCUAGUCAGAUAGUCAACGAUCCAGAACACGAGAGGAGCCUCUACCUGCAAUGCUGUCAGCUGCUCACUCAGUAGAGCUGGCCUAAUGGUGUCAAAAGCACUGGGGAGUUACAAAAAAAAAAGAAAAAGAAAAACAUGACCCGCACAGUGCUCUUCGAUUUGUCCAGGUGAGCGUAUACGCAGCUGAGCAGGAAAGUGAUGACACUGUUUGAUCACUUCAGGCUUUGAAAGAUGAGCUCCUGCCUGCUGGUUUAUUUUUAACAUCAGCUGUUUUUGUAUUGAAUCAAACUACAAAUAGACUGUUUUAACUUGAAUGAAUAUUAAUAACAGUUUGCUCAGUUUACAUCUAUGAUUUAAAUCUUUCACUUCACUUUUUUUUUUCUCAUUAAUGAGCAAACCUGAACAGGUUACAUGCCACCUUUUUCUAAACGAUCCAAAAAUGUUCUGUUAAGGUUUACUGCAACAACCAACUACUGGGGCUUUAGGCGACAUUUCAUCUACAGGCAGAGAAAAUAAUGUGCCUGAACUGCAAUAUGUUAUUCCAGUUUUUGAAUCCCCUUUUUGUCUGUUUGCAUCUUUUAUUUGAGCCGUUGGACAAGAUUGAAACCAUGUGCUGCAGAGCGUUCAAAGGCUUCUCAUGCAUUGGUGCUUGCUACAUACUAAUUUGUCAGUCUUCACACAUUUGUAUGAUGUUUUAUGUCUUAAGUGUAAAGAGAAUACUGUAUUGGGAUUGGCUCAUUAUCAGUGGAAGGGAUCAAUAAGUCAUCUUUAAAGCUUUCAUCUAUUUUCAUCUAUUAAUGAUGUAAAUAUGUGCCAGUAUAGGAUAUUUCUGCUGAGAGAAGCCAAGGCCUUCGUCAUUUAAGGAGGAAAUCCACUUAAAAAAGGACACACAUAAUUUAGUGCCGGUUCCCUUGAACAUGUGCAGACCUUAACCAAAGCAAGAAAAUCUCAUCUGUAAUCUGGAUGAAGACAAAAAGAGCACAUUUGUAUUCCUUUAUGGACAUGCUCUGUUACUUAAAACAUGAUAAAAAGUGCUCCAUCUGGCUCCAUCAGUGAAAAAGCAUUAUAUUCGACUUCAUCCAUGUCAAAUUUCUCACUGAGUCAUCCACUGAUUACCUCUCUGUGGGUCUGUGUUAUGUAGGAGGUAUGAAGUGAUCAAUGGCAGAAAAUAACUGUUUACUAGAAGGACAAACAAGAAACAACCUGCAGUACAGCAAACACAGCUUCAAGAAUUGAUGAAAGAAGUCAGUGAUUUCAAUUUCAUUUUUAGAGCUGGAAUUCAUCUCAUAUGUAUGUUGUCUUGACUCCCACACGCAAGAUGUUCAGCACCAUUCUUUGGUACGCUGCUAGUAAUCUCACAGUUAUGGCUGUCAAACCAUCAAUUUUUAAAACUGUGGUUAAUUGCUGAAAUUCAGUAAUUACUUGCAAUUAACUAACCUUCUGAGAUUUUUUUUUUUUUUUCAUUUUAAAACAGUUUUUGAUUCCAUAUCAUAAAACAAGUCCUACAUCUGUUUUGUUAGAGGCAGAACUUUUUUUAAAGCUAUAGUGGGAAAUUUCUAUGUGUUUGUAAACCUCCAUUUCAGCCAAGACAGUACAAGAGGAGAUGAUGCAACGCUGAUUAAGCGGUUCAGCUCCUCUAACACCUCUCAGUAUUUUUCAGUAUUUGCUCUUUUUGUAUUUGGUGUCUUUGGCGACAUUCCCUCACUGGCACACAGGAAAUGACGCAUUCUACUCAGUUUUACCUGACAAUUAGAAGGGAGGGGGGAGUAGAGCGCUGCUAGAAACAACAUGGUAGAGAACCUGAAUAAGCGACCAAGAGGUCCAGAAGUGGAUCCUACUAAAAAGAAAAGGCCUUCCUGUUCAGGAGACGGUCUGUUGGAGAAGAAAUAAAGAAAACUAAUUAUGAUAUUAACAUUCAUUAUGUCCCCAAAGUGUCCAAGAGCUGAAUAGCUCCUAUGUGACCUGCCACUUCAACUACACCGGCAAUGUUAGGCAACAAGCUAGCGUGAAGAGUGUGUAGAGGAACAGUGUCUCUGUCCGUGACUCAGAGGCGAAUUGCUAAUGAGCUACUGGAGCUCUACAGAAGAAAAGCCCUUAAAAUGACACAGGUAACGUGAUUUUGGAUGAAAACUUCAUAAUGAUGAUUGAAAGACCACUGAGGGCACUUUGAACUAUUAAAAAAAAUAUAUAAUCGGAGUUGGACUUUAAACUUGUGAGGAAAAUCUCACUUGAGAUACAUUCAGUCUAAAGCACAGCAAUGCUACACAAGGUUUAAUAUGUUCAGGACCAAAACUCAUUUAAACUAUUGUACUUCACCCUGAUUUCACCAGACCUCAGUUACAGUGCAGAGUUACGAGGAAAAAAUGUAUGAUGUUAGUUUAAAGCCUCUGAAAACAUCACAGGAUUGAACUAUAAGGUUAAAGCACAAAACAUCUGCAAGGGGUCACGACAAUCACGACGAUUUGAAAAUGUCUUGAAUCGUGUUUGGAGUCAAAUGUGGCUCAUUACCUGCUAAUUUGCAGAAUCUGUUUUAUUUUGGUGCACAGGAGGAAGAUCACUUUACAGUGAAAUACUCCUGAACCACAAUAUAAUGAAGGCCUCUUUCAACCUGUGUGGUCAGUCUUCGAUAGGGCUGACUAUCCAAUUGAUCAUUUGUUCAUCCCUCUUUACUGAAUCCACCAGUACAGAGUUGAAGAAUGUGUGCAUUCUUUGGCUUUUAUCAGAGAGAGGGUAUUCGUUGCAACUGAAGUUUGCAGAGCAGCAGCAGACCUCUGCUUCACAUCUUGCACUUGAAAGGGGAGCAUUUAACAGCACUUAGAUGAAACUCAAAGUUGCAGAUGUCCAGUCAUCUGUGCUGAGUUCAUCCUGUAUCACCAGGGGCUGAUGUUGUCCAAAUGUAAGUCAGUGUUGACUCUGUCUGAGUGUCUGCCUGGGCUGUUGCAAAAAUGAUCUGUGAGUGUAAACCUCAAAGUAAGAGAUACCUAAAAAUAUGACACAGGUUAAGACUGCAAAGACCUUCUCAUGUGUAUUCUGACUGAAACCUGGAAGUCAGUGCAGCUUAUAGAGGAAGUGAUUGUUGUUUUCUUUAGCUUUCCUGCAGAAUUAAUACUGUAACUUCAUCAGUUUGUCUUGUUCGUUAUUUUUGCUGUUUAAUGAAGUUUCAUUCACUGUCUGGACACUUAAGACAAAAUACAGUGAAAUAUAUGAUGACUUUUGGACUUCAACUAAUCUAUCAACGCUGAGCCUUUUCUACUUUAUUUUGGACUCAGGCUUUAUCCUUUGUUUUUCUCUUGGAUUUUCACAGGGCAAAAGUUACAGACCUGGUUGAUUUGAAUAGGAUUUAAAGCACAUUUAAUGAUGCUUCAGAUUGGUACUCCUAAACUUUGUUUUUAAUGUCAUUUACAUGUGCUUUCUAAAUGAUCAGCUGAUAUUUCCUCUCCACCAGUAAAGGAUCAAAUCCAGCCUGGCCUCAGCUUGUCGCAGUUAUUGAGCUUCUGCCCUAAUGAGGCAAGGGUUAAGUACCGGAGCAGGAGAAAUAUAGUCCUGCACACCGCACUGUAUUUGAUUUAGAGGAAGUACAGAUGAUUUAUACAGCCCUCAAGUUUUAUAUUUCCCACAAGUGGGAGUACAACUCAAGAGAAGAGGAUAGAUGAGGUUUAAACAGAUCACAGUGGGCUGGGAAGAAUCUCAAGAGGGGAUAAAAAGUGGUGAAACAACCGAAUAAUGACUUUAUCUAACUGUGAAUGUUUGAGAGGAAAACAGUGCAGCCAAUUAGGUGUGUUAGUCUGGCUGAUUGCUGUGAGGUCUUGAAUAAAGCGCUGUUAUAUGUGACAGUAGUCUUGCGCUGUGUCACUUGAAGAAAACUCUUGAGAGUCUAUUAAAAGUGAAGAAUUUGGUUUUCAACACUUUUGUAAGAGAAGUAACUAGCUCUUUUUUCUUUUCUUUUUUUUAGUGAGUGCUGUUAGAUGACUGCGGUUUGAUUUCCUAAGGCUGCAUGUCCAACCCUUAAAACAUUUCCUGAAUAUAGAGCCAGCGCUUAAAGAGAUAAUAGAAAACUG